AAUCAACGCUGGCGGCGCGCUUAACACAUGCAAGUCGAGCGAGAAAGGGGAGCAAUCCCUGAGUACAGCGGCGUACGGGUGAGUAACACGUGGAUAAUCUACCUUCUAGUGGGGAAUAACCCUGGGAAACCGGGGCUAAUACCGCAUAAGCCUGUAAAGGGAAAGCAGCAAUGCGCUGGAAGAGGAGUCCGCGGCCGAUUAGCUAGUUGGUGAGGUAACGGCCCACCAAGGCGACGAUCGGUAGCCGGCCUGAGAGGGCACACGGCCACACUGGCACUGAAACACGGGCCAGACUCCUACGGGAGGCAGCAGUGGGGAAUCUUGCACAAUGGAGGCAACUCUGAUGCAGCGACGCCGCGUGAGCGAUGAAGCCCCUUGGGGUGUAAAGCUCUUUCGGUCAGGAACGAAUAUAGACGGUACCUGAAGAAGAAGACUGCGGCUAACUACGUGCCAGCAGCCG
rnacentral:rRNA from 1 species